CGGUUAAGUUAUUAAGGGCGCACGGUGGAUGCCUUGGCACUAGGAGCCGAUGAAGGACGGGACUAACACCGAUAUGCUUCGGGGAGCUGUAAGUAAGCUUUGAUCCGGAGAUUUCCGAAUGGGGAAACCCACUGCUCGUAAUGGAGCAGUAUCC
rnacentral:rRNA from 1 species